GAUGAGCGCUGGCGGCGUGCUUAACACAUGCAAGUCGAACGAUGAAGCCCAGCUUGUUGGGUGGUUUCGUGGCGAACGGGUGUGUAACACGCGAGUAACCUGCCCCUAACUCUGGGAUAAGCCUGGGAAACUCGGUCUAAUACCGGAUAGGAGCGUCCAUCGCAUGGUGGGUGUUGGAAAGAUUUAUCGGUUUUGGAUGGACUCGCGGCCAAUCAGCUUGUUGGUGAGGUAAUGGCUCACCAAGGCGGAGACGGGUAGACGGCCUUGGAGGGGGACCGGCCACAAUGGGACUGAGGCACGGCGCAGACGCCUACGGGGGGCAACGGUGGGGAAUAUUGCACAAUGGGCGCAAGCCUGAUGAGGCGGCGCCGCGGUAGGGAAGACGGCCUUUGGGGUGUAAACCUCUUUCAGUAGAGAAGAAGCGAGAGUGACGGUACCUGCAGAAGAAGCACCGGCUAACUACGUG
rnacentral:rRNA from 1 species